AACGAACGCUGGCGGCAUGCCUAACACAUGCAAGUCGAACGAAGCCUUCGGGCUUAGUGGCGCACGGGUGCGUAACGCGUGGGAAUCUGCCCCUUGCUUCGGAAUAACAGUUAGAAAUGACUGCUAAUACCGGAUGAAGUCUUCGGACCAAAGAUUUAUCGGCAAGGGAUGAGCCCGCGUAGGAUUAGGUAGUUGGUGGGGUAAAGGCCUACCAAGCCGACGAUCCUUAGCUGGUCUGAGAGGAUGAUCAGCCACACUGGGACUGAGACACGGCCCAGACUCCUACGGGGGGCAGGAAUUGGGAAUAUUGGACAAUGGACGCAAGUCUGAUCCAGCAAUGCCGCGUGAGUGAUGAAGGCCUUAGGGUUGUAAAGCUCUUUUACCAGGGAUGAUAAUGACAGUACCUGGAGAAUAAGCUCCGGCUAACUCCGUG
rnacentral:rRNA from 1 species